UUACUAUUCCCUGCUCACUGAUGAGGAAAUGGUUGAGUAGCAGUGACCAGCCCAAGGUCACACAGCUAGCAAGCACAGGACCCUGGAAUACCUGUCAGCAGUCUCAUUACAGAGUUCAUGAUCUCAGAAGGACACACAAAACCAAGGCUUUCUUCAUGCUGCCCCUCCCCCACCCCAGCUUCACACUUGAACAAAUCUAAGUUUCCCCACCUGUAAAGUGGAGACGGUGAUGUCUGAUCAGAAUAUUGAGUAAGGACCAGGAAACAAAGGCAUGGAGAAUUGUGCCCUCUAGAGCCAUGGAAGUUUUUAGAGUGUUUCUGAAUUUUCUUCUGAUCUAAGAAGUCUUCAAGCGAUGCCCCAACC
rnacentral:lncRNA from 1 species